rnacentral:tRNA from 1 species
UAGCCUAGUGUUUAUGGCUAUGGAUCGCCAAUCCAGAGACGGCGGGUUCGAUUCCCGU